rnacentral:misc_RNA from 1 species
AACGCACAUUGCGCCCUUUGGUAUUCCGAAGGGCAUGCCUGUUCGAGCGUCAUUUACACUCUCAAGCUCUGCUUGGUAUUGGAGGUUGCCCCGGUGGGGUGCCCCCGAAACACAGCGGCGACGUAGCCGGACUCCCUGGCGUAGUGACUUUUUUCGCCGCCCCGGAGUCGUCGGUCUUGCGUUAGCCGGACAACGCCCCAUUUUCUUGAAAUCGACCUCGGAUCAGGUAGGAAUACCCGCUGAACUUAA